rnacentral:rRNA from 1 species
CAAGUCGUGCGCGAAGGAGGCUUCGGCCUCUGGAGAGCGGCGAACGGGUGAGUAACACGUGGGUAAUCUACCUAGGAGCGGGGGAUAACCUGGGGAAACUCGGGCUAACACCGCAUACGUUGUUGGGGUUUUGGCCUCAUCAAGAAAGCUGGCCUCUGCUUGCAAGCUAGCGCUCCUAGAGGAGCCCGCGGCUGAUUAGCUAGUUGGUGAGGUAAAGGCUCACCAAGGCGACGAUCAGUAGCCGGCCUGAGAGGGUGAUCGGCCACACUGGGACUGAGACACGGCCCAGACUCCUACGGGAGGCAGCAGUGGGGAAUAUUGGACAAUGGGCGCAAGCCUGAUCCAGCAACGCCGCGUGGAGGAUGAAGGUCUUCGGAUCGUAAACUCCUGUCAGACGGGACGAAGGUAGCGGGGUAAAUAAUCCCGCUGCUUGACGGUACUGUCAGAGGAAGCCCCGGCUAACUCCGUGCCAGCAGCCGCGGUAAUACGGAGGGGGCGAGCGUUAUUCGGAAUUAUUGGGCGUAAAGGGCGCGUAGGCGGCUGCACAAGUCAAAGGUGAAAUCCCUCGGCUCAACUGAGGAACUGCCUUUGAAACUGUGCGGCUUGAGGCCGGGAGGGGGUAGCGGAAUUCCCAGUGUAGCGGUGAAAUGCGUAGAUAUUGGGAGGAACACCAGUGGCGAAGGCGGCUACCUGGACCGGUUCUGACGCUGAGGCGCGAAAGCGUGGGUAGCAAACAGGAUUAGAUACCCUGGUAGUCCACGCUGUAAACGAUGGGUGCUCGGUGUCGCGGGUAUCGACCCCUGCGGUGCCUUAGCUAACGCGUUAAGCACCCCGCCUGGGGAGUACGGUCGCAAGGCUGAAACUCAAAGGGAUUGACGGGG